rnacentral:rRNA from 1 species
GUCUCUUUGAGUUUUUUUAAUGAGGAGAGUUGGGCCUGCUCGGUCAUUUAUAUUUAACAGCUGCGGUAUUAUAACUGUACUAAGGUAGCAUAAUAAUUUGCCUUAUAAAUUGAGGCUAGAAUGAAUGGUUUGACGAAAAUUAUACUGUCUCUAUUUUAUUCAUUAGAAGUUAAUUUUUAUAGUGAGAAAGCUUGGAUGAUUUAAAGGGACGAAAAGACCCUAUUGAGCUUUAUAUUAUAUUUUAAAUAUAAUUUGUUUUGAUUUAUUUAAAUAUAAUUUUGGUUGGGGUGAUCAAGGAAUAAAGUAUAUUUGUAUUAACUUCCUUAGAUAUUAUAUAUAAAUAAAUUAAUAAACCAAAUUUAUUGCUUAGAAGAUAAGUUACCAUAGGGAUAACAGCGUAAUUUUUUUUGAAAGUUCAUAUUGAAAAAAGAGAUUGSCGACCUCGAUGUUGGAUUAAAAUAACCUUAAGGUGGAGAGGCUUUAAUUGGUAAAUCUGUUCGAUUUUUAAAAUUUUAC